rnacentral:rRNA from 1 species
AGUGAACGCUGGCGGUAGGCCUAACACAUGCAAGUCGAACGGCAGCACAGUAAGAGCUUGCUCUUACGGGUGGCGAGUGGCGGACGGGUGAGGAAUACAUCGGAAUCUACUUUUUCGUGGGGGAUAACGUAGGGAAACUUACGCUAAUACCGCAUACGACCUACGGGUGAAAGCAGGGGAUCUUCGGACCUUGCGCGAUUGAAUGAGCCGAUGUCGGAUUAGCUAGUUGGCGGGGUAAAGGCCCACCAAGGCGACGAUCCGUAGCUGGUCUGAGAGGAUGAUCAGCCACACUGGAACUGAGACACGGUCCAGACUCCUACGGGAGGCAGCAGUGGGGAAUAUUGGACAAAGGGCGCAAGCCUGAUCCAGCCAUACCGCGUGGGUGAAGAAGGCCUUCGGGUUGUAAAGCCCUUUUGUUGGGAAAGAAAAGCAGCAGGUUAAUACGCCGCUGUUCUGACGGUACCCAAAGAAUAAGCACCGGCUAACUUCGUG